rnacentral:lncRNA from 1 species
AGGAACACAGCUGAUAAUUCAGCAACUUAACCCAAACAGGGAAGGGAAGACCUUAAGAUGUCUGGAAACACUUGUCUACCCUGGAUACACACAGUCCAAAGAAGACCAGGGAACUGAAUCGUCUUGCUGAAGUCUGGGGUUUUUGUCACCCUUUUUCAUUGUGGACAGUAAAGCUGGGAGAGUAGCACAGUCCAAGAAGAAAUGAAGAUGGAAGCCAAAGAGGUCUCUCAGGCUUGCUGACUCCUCAGCACGUCAACCUCUGUGGUGAUGGCUGUCAGAAGACCCUAACAGUGCUGCUGAACCUGUAUACUGCCCAAUCUCCUGUCAGUUGGGAAGGAUUCAUUCAUAACAGGAACAGAGGUGUUCAUGCCUCAUUUUUAACUGAGAUUACAGUUCAAAAUGGAGCCCGAGAUGCCACCCAGACUGCAAGGUUUUAAAAACAAACAGAAGACUAAAGCUAAAGCCACUGGAAGACAGUGCUUGUUAGUAACUAAAGAUUGAAAGUCGGAGACCUGCCAAGAUGUCUCUCCUUCUUGAGUACCAUCAAAGGACAGCUCAUUGGAGAGAUGAAACCUGGGUAGAACGUCUGCUAUUGGCCUGACUAGUAGAAGAACGACAUCUGGACUUGACUGCUUUAUUCUACCAGGAAUACUGUUAGACUAACCUUCAGCCAGUCCCUAAACACUUGUUUGACUGAACUGCCAGGUCCACACAGAUAGACUUCUGACCUAGAACUUCCCUAUUAUUAAAGAAACCAAGUUAUCUUGUAUUUCGGCUUAGAGUUUGUAGUGAAUGAUUUUUCCCUUCAAAUCUGCUUGUGUGAAGGGAUAUUCAGUGUAACAAUCAAAUUACUAAAAUACAGUUACAUGAUUGCAGCAAAUUAUUAUAAAAGGGGGGAAAUCCUAGUUUUAGGAGCUAGGAAAUCAUGUUUGUUUGUUACAAUAUUUAACAUCCUGAUGGGGUAAAGGUCAUUUUUCUUUAACUUGUCCAUAGUUUCUUAAUAGCUUAAAUGCUGUUGAAAUUGGAAUUAGAUCACAGGUGUAGUCGAGUUUUAUAGAUACAAUUAAGUCUUGUUUGAUAGCCUUUGUAUGCCUUACUGUGGCUGGGGAGCUAGUCUAACAGAUAAAGCACUAGCAGAUGGCGAGAACCAGCAUUCAGACCCUUCAGAACGGGUGGAAUGGAGGCCAUGUGUAACCCUAGCACUGGGAAUGCAGAGAUAGGAUCCCCAAAGAAAGCUGGUCAGAUUGUGAACUCCCGCAAGGUGGGGGGCCAUCUGGAAAGAUGCCUGAUCUCAGCCUCUGACACGCAUUAUGUGUGUGCCUAUACACAUGUGUGCCAGCACAUAAGAGAACAUACUGCACAGAGCAUCUUUGAUUUUUUUUUUUUAAGUUCACCAAUGCUAUUUCAAAACCUUUAUUUACUGUUUGCUUUAUGUGGUCUUAGGAUUAUGGAUUCAGUAUUGGUUAUUUACAUAUUCUUUCAUAGUAGACACUCUAAGAAGAGGGAGUAAAACAUCUUUGCGCUCAGAGCUUAGAAUGUUGUAUUUAACAAAUGAGGAGUUCCUAGUUAACGGAUGAAAAUUAUAACUGUUUUUGCAAUUUUAUUCUUGGAAAUACUUGUAAUAGAGUAAGUAGUAGGAGAAUUUUAUAUCCCAUGAAGCCCAAAAGAAAUAUCCUACCAGUGCUUGAGAAGGAAAGGGGAGCAAUCUAUUACUGACAUGGGUUUCUGUUGUAGUGGUGGUUUAUUUUUUGUUUUUGCUAAAGAAGUCAAGAAACAGUGUGAAAUGUAUGUAGUUAGGUCACCUUGGGGGUUUAGGAGGGAGUAGACCAAAUGGCCUGUACGGGAUGUUCAUGUUACUAAGAGGUGGACUGUUUAUUCUGUCUUAGGCAAAAAAAACCAGCCAUUAAAAGUAGCAGCCCUGAGUUUCCCUUGUGAGGAGAGGGGACUGUAUAGCAGGACAAUUUGGGAAGUACACAAAGCAUUCCUAGCUUAGGAGUUAGUGACCGGUGUGAUCUUUUUAAUGCAACAAUGGAAGUAGAGAAGUAGUAAGAUCAACAUGAGCGUUUUAUAUAGAAAUUAUUUCUUAGAGGUUCAAAAUUCAUUGAAGCUUACUGUUGGAUAAUCUCAUCAGAAAUAAUUCAUGCUUCCGAUCUAGCUAGAACCAUAUUCUAGUGCUGCAGUAAUGUCCUGUUUUUCCUCGCUUGUUGGGUACCAAAGGUGAAGAGCUGAGCAUUUGAAUAACAACAUUGAAUAACAUUUGAAUAACAACAACUCUAUUAUAGCUUAGAGUGGAGUGCUGAGGCUCUGAUUGACUGUGGACUGCUUCCUGGGUUAUUCAGAAUGAGGGCUGGGAGAGGCUUUAAAGGAGAUGAGCUUACUCUUUUGAGAAGUUUGGGUUGGUGAUUUUCCAGAUAAAAGCAACAGCACUUAAAAGUGAUUACUGCCCUACUUCUACCUAAUUU